rnacentral:rRNA from 1 species
UACAGAGGUCCCAAGCGUUGUUCGGAUUUACUGGGCGUAAAGGGCGCGUAGGCGGCGCAACAAGUCACUUGUGAAAUCUCCGGGCUUAACCCGGAGCGGUCAAGUGAUACUGUCGUGCUAGAGUGCGGAAGGGGCUACUGGAAUUCUCGGUGUAGCGGUGAAAUGCGUAGAUAUCGAGAGGAACACCUGCGGCGAAGGCGGGUAGCUGGGCCGACACUGACGCUGAGAAGCGAAAGCAUGGGGAGCGAACAGG